UCUACUGGUGGCUCAAUUAUUUGGAGACUAAGUUCCCUCUCUUCCUUUGACUCAUCACUACAUAAGUUGUACAAAUUGUAAUCAUCAACAAAAGAAUAUUGAUAAUAAUUUAUACAACUUCCUUUGACUCAUCACUAUUGCGCUGUUAUGUAAUUUAUACAACUUCACGCCUUUUCUUCUCGAGGCUGAAAUUCUUUGAAGCGGUGCGCAGGCUCAUUUGUUUGAAUAUUGAUAGUAACUAUUCUAUAUUAUCAUAAUUGUAUUAUUUUUUUAUUCCAAAGAUCAACACUCACAAAAGAUUCAUAACCCCAAGUAAUUGUAAAUAUAUUAUAGUAUAAAUAUAACAUUGCAGGAUAAAAACAAAGAAACAGAGAAGAGCGUCCAUCUAAAGGUAAACGCCGAUUUCUGUAGUAGAAUCAUGAUUUGUGAAAGUUACCGUUGUUGUUGUUCUUGAGUGGUGGCUUCCUUAUCUGCUUCAAUGAGUAGUGGUUGGGACAUGUCCCUUUUUUUCUCACUUCGCUUUCGCUUCUUCUCUCGCUUCUUCUCUGCCAUAUUGUAAUACAAAAGAAAUAAAAAUUUGCAGAAAGUAAAAUAAAAAAAGUUGGAUAAAAAAUAAAGAAGAGAGAGGGACAAACUUGAGGAAGAGGAGCGAGUGUUGAACUCUUGAAGAAGCAUUCCACACUGUGUGUGCUGAAGAGUUAACAUUUUCUGAUACAAUUGAAGUCGUUCCACAUCCAAAUCCGACCCGGACUCCAUUUUUAUGAGAGACGCACCUAUUAUCGCUUAAUCUUC
rnacentral:lncRNA from 1 species